CAAUAGCGUAUAUUAAAGUUGUUGCGGUUAAAAAGCUCGUAGUUGGAUUUCUGCCGAGGACGACCGGUCCGCCCUCUGGGUGAGUAUCUGGCUCGGCCUGGGCAUCUUCUUGGAGAACGUAGCUGCACUUGACUGUGUGGUGCGGUAUCCAGGACUUUUACUUUGAGGAAAUUAGAGUGUUUCAAGCAGGCACACGCCUUGAAUACAUUAGCAUGGAAUAAUAAGAUAGGACCUCGGUUCUAUUUUGUUGGUUUCUAGAGCUGAGGUAAUGAUUAAUAGGGAUAGUUGGGGGCAUUCGUAUUUAACUGCCAGAGGUGAAAUUCUUGGAUUUGUUAAAGACGGACUACUGCGAAAGCAUUUGCCAAGGAUGUUUUCAUUGA
rnacentral:rRNA from 1 species